GGCGGGGUAGCUCAGCUGGUUAGAGCGCGGGACUCAUAAGCCCGAGGUCGUGGGUUCGAUCCCCACCCCCGCUACCA
rnacentral:tRNA from 1 species